GGAGAUGAAGCUGCCUUUCAACAUGUAUGUCUUAAAGCACCAAAAGAGCUUAGGUGUCUGACUCAGCCUUCUGGAUCUGCAGUGCUAAUGGAAAGGACUUGAUCUGAAGCAUGCUGGAGUAGGUGAAAGAGGAGAGCAAUAGCUGCAGUGCCAUCCCAUGGCUUUCAAGAGGAUGCUGCCUCCAGGAGAGCUGGCUUGGAUCACAUGGGGAAGCAUAGUAACUCAAAGCUGCUAGACAAACGUGGAGGAUAAAUAUGGAGAAUGGAGAACCUAAGGGCAAGUAUUUGAGCACUGGAAGCCUAUCAGAGCUUACAGGGGGCUGUUUCCUCACCUCAGAACUUGAAGUCAAGAUGGACUAUGCUAUCAUUCUGAGACAUCUGAGCAAUAAUUUAGGAGUUUUUCCAGUUACCAUGGAUGGGUGAAGUACAGUUGCUGCUCUGAAAGUACUGUUUCCUAUUUUAUUACUUUGGCCCAUGAAGUCAGGGAUGGAUGUUGGUGAUGUGGCCGUAAAGGUUGAACUUUCCCACCGAUGUUCUGCUACAUUUUCUUGGUGUGUGACAGAUGGCAGCUUGUCCUGCACCUCAAAACACUUCCAAGUCCAAACAGAAGCUGUUGCUUUCCUGUGACAUAUAAGAAACCAAUAAUGUGCAGUGGAAACUUAAUGCCAACUGAUUUGCUGAACUUCAAUGGAAACCAUCGCUUCUUCAUGGCAGUUAACUACUGGGAUUCAGAUGUGAAAUUCUGGCUGAGCACAAAGAGGUGAGUCAUGCAAGCCUACACAAAUAUCUUGUCGGAGGAAGGAAAACACAAUGUGGAAGGACAAAGAAAAGCUUUCUAACAAGAAGAGGAACUUUCUGGGGUGGUGGCAAGGUGCUGGGAGAAGGUGGCUCUUCCCUGGUGUGUUGCAGUGUGUUGGAGCUCCUUAAGUGGCCAUGGCAGGAGAAUAAACACAGUGAGGGACCCAAGUCCCUACAACACGCCUGUCUUACAAUGAGAGAACGUAAGUGUGCAAGGCUCAGUGUGAUGUGGCAAAAUGAUGGCAUCUGCCUUUUGGCAUGGGAGUUUCAUGUUUUUGGCAUGGGAGCCAUCAGUGUUUAAUAGAAACUGUUGUUGGAACUGCUUUUGGACUUAGGACAUGUGAUGUUUGUUCUCAUUUAAUGUGUUUUAAAUGGUUUGUAUAAAAUGAAAGGGGUAACCGUGGAAGAAACUGCAAACUUCCUUUUUAAAAACUUGUUCCCGUUUUCCAACUGAGUGUAAAGAGAUUUGUGGCACAGUUUGAGGCCCAGCAUGUGUCCGGGAGGAAAGGCCAAGCUCUGAACAAUGGUCGUAUUUGCUGACAUCAGCUGAUUCAUAGCAAUUCACAAGAUUUAUGGAAGACCACCUUCAGACUGCAUGGUUCUGGCAAACAGAAUGAAUGAGUUAAUUUUCCUGGGACCGAGACCCCUAAAUUUUCUCUGGCACUUCCCUAGAGGCCUUGCACAAAUGUUUCAGGGCAGUUACCUGAUGGAGAGGCACUCGUGGCUCCAAGCUGGGGCAGCUGAUUGCUACUUACGUGGUUUAAAUUGCUUGCACCUUUAGCAGAAGAGGACAGCCUGAUGGGGAUCUGGCAUCCCCAGCAACUCCAAAGGCACAGCUGUGAAAGAGAUGACAUCUCAACUCCUACAAGGCUGCUCUUCUUAUAUCACGGGGACUUGGAUUUCUCUUCUGUUUCUAGUCAGCCUGAAAGGCUGAUGGGAAAUGGCAUGCUGUGGUGCUGCUGUUUGAGGGGGUUGGACCUAUGUCUACCCCUACAGAUGCAUCCUGGUGGGGCAACUAAAGGGGCUGGGAACACACAGAUGAGAGCACCUUGAGUGCCUGUUUGUAAUGCUGUGAUUCACGAUGCCUUGCAAUGCUUUCUGGAAGUGUUUAGAUAACAUAAUGGGCCCCUUAUGGCAUCUGAGGAGACAAGGUCUGACAUUCCUUAGACAGUGUUUUGAUGAGGAAAAUGUUUGUAUUUAAUUAAGGCUGCUCCACAGUAAUGGCUAUGAGGCUGUAGAAGGCUGAGCUGGGAUGAAAACAAUAUUGCCCAAGUCCAGUAAUGCAGAAAGAAAUUAUUAGUUUAACGGGGUGUGAAAUUAUCCAUUUUGUUUUCUUCAAAAUUAACUGUAGUUCACUGUAUAGCCUGCUAUGACUGACCAAACCACAUCAAAGGGUUGCCCAUGCAAGAGAACAGGAAAUAUUUCCCAACAAGAAUCUGAGGUGUAGCUCUACGAGGACAGUUGAUAGCAGAUUGGUGACAGUGCAGUGCUAUGUAAGAAGUCGAUUUUAGUUCUUAGGAAGGAAAGCUAGGUGGCUGAGUUUCUGACUGCUUAGGGUGCAGAGAAGUGGGAAUGGGGCAAUAUUUUGGCAAAUACUGACCAGACUUCUGUGUCUGCAUCCUUGUUCUGUCCCAUGCAAACUGUUGAAAAUUUGUCCUAACACAAUUACUUCAGAGACAGAAGUCAGAAGAGACAGAGACUUUCUGUGUCAGAAAGUCUUAAAACGUAGCUGACAAAAUGAAUUUUUGAAGGUCUGAUACUGAAUGAGUUAUAAAACAGUGAUCUGGCUCCUCCAGCUCACCCAGCCCAAUCAACAGUGAAAUCUCAGGCUCUCGCAGUCAGUUUGCAACUGAACACAAAGACAACAUGUAUUCAGACAAAGCAUUCACAGCGUAAUUCCACACCCAGAUCAUACAUGGGAAAGUGAUAGGUAUACAGGAAACACAUGAAUUAAAUGGGAAAAGGAGAAAAAAGCUUACUUUGGUGAACUGGCAACUUAACUUGGUUGUGCUUUGGAAAAUGCAUCCCCGCAGGUUACAGGUUUCCAUUGCCAGCCCUAGGAAUGCAGUACAGGAUGCAACCAGCUGAUAGCAGUCUCUGCUGCAAAGCCCCCCUUUGGGCUCCAGUACAAAACAGGUCUCCCUGGGCUCUGUAAUUACUGUCUGCAUAUUAUGCAAUUGCCUAAAAGUGCCAUACCAUAGGUGAAAUGAGCAACAGCCAAGCAAGCAUACUUGGCUCUAGUUCUAGAAUAAGCAACAGUGCAUGGUGGUUGCCAGAGUAAGAAGAAAGGAAUUGCUUAAUGCAUGAAGAGUAGCUUUUCAGAGUGACAUCGAUGCACGUAUUUGCAAGAAGACUUUGUAUUUGCAGGUGCCUGAUAAUGAAAGGGAAAGUGCAUCGCAGUGGUUCAAUGGAGGCAGCAGUGUAUGUGUAUUCUUCCAGGAGGUGUGGAUGUAAGUAUGGAAAUAUGAUCCUCCAGAAUAAUGGUUUGAAACUGCAGAACUGAAACUCUUCAAGAGCUGGUGCCAAUGAGACAGUUUUCUACAGGCUUUUUCUCCUCUGCUGGAGACUUCAUGUGAGAUCCCUCGUCCCAGGGAUCCCAAAUAACUCAAAACAAGUGAAGGCACUGAAAGCACUACAGCAGGUAAAUGCAGACAAGUCAGAGGGCCAUCUGAAUAUCUUUUGAGCUAUUUUCAGAACACUGGUUUUUAGUUUGGCCUUAUCUGUUGUCCCAUUUUAAGCCCUCAUCAGUCUCUCCUGAGUCAGCUUCCUCUACCUCUGUGGUCUUAUCUGUGGUCUUAGUAGGGUUUCUUCAGUAGGAAUAUAUAAUGACAUGAGAAUGCAUUGCUUUACUAUUAUGUGGAAGAAAAACUGGUUGUUCAUCCAGUGUUAAUUUGCUAUGGCUAUGUGGAAAGUGGCCCUUAUCAGAAAAAGUGAAAUAGAGACACAUGAUAAAAAGAGGGAGAGCCUUAGGAGUUAAAAUAUAAACAUAAACACUUGCAAAAGUGCAGAAAUUACAGCUGUUAAUGGCCAUGUAUAAAAUGAUUGAAGAACCUGUUGCACAACCAGCCCACUGACUACUGCAGUAAUUGUUCUCUAAUUGAAAUCAAUGACAAAAUCAUCACUGAUUUCCCAGGGACUGGACAUGAGCACAAACACUUUCUAUUUGCUGCAACUGAAUCUUAAGCACCUCUCACAAAGGAGGAGAUUGGAAUCCUGGGGAUGAUCUAUGUAUGUUUUUACACCGGAACAGUCAGAAUUGCACAGAGGAAUACUGAUUUUCACCUGCUGCCCUAUACAGAGACCUUAAUAGCUUGUGCUUCUUCCGUGCUUUAGUGGUCUCCUGACUGGGAGAUGUUUCUGUGAACAAUGUCUUUAUGCAGUAGUGGGAUGGCUGAGGGCUCUCAAGCAAUUUGAUCCCAUGCAAGCUAACCUGCCUAUAAGGAAAAGCUUAUGUCAAGCAAGCAAUCCGCAGAUGAGUUCUGCACUGCCUGCAAAGCUAAAUGUGCACAACUGAUGGCUUAUUCAUAAGAUUUCGGAGGCUUGAGUGCUUUGUUUUUAAAAAUAUCUGACGUGGUCACAGCUUUCCUUCAGUUGUGCUUUGUUCGGAUUUUGUGUUUUUGAUGUCAGUGGGAGUUGUGGCCGCAGCAAUGCAGAGGCAAGGUGCUGACAAGCAUUCCCAGCACACUGUGAAAAUAAACUCCCUGUGGAUUGCUGAAGUCCUGCAGCGUCUGUCUUCUGGCCCUUUUUUCUCUCUCGGUGAGCUGACUAGACUUUUUAAACAGAAUGGAUUUCACCAAAGCCAAUUGAUAUUUUGUCCUGCAAUAUAAAGCUGAUUUAUGGUGGAUCACUUGAUUUAUUGCUUCCAGACAACAAACAAGUCAAAAUGUCAAUUCGUAUUUUCAUUCCUUCAAACCUGAACCACUGUGGACCCUUUGAGCUGCUGCUAAAACCACAGAGCAAAAGCCAUCCAGGUGCAAUCCACAGCCCCUCACUGUGAGAGCAGGAGGUCGGGCUCCCAGCACACCAAUACCACAUGCUUCUGGGGGUGCUCCUGUAUGGAGAGACUUCUUUGUUGUGUCCAAAGCUUCUGAAAUCAAAAGCUCUCCAAAAAGCCCUCUGCUAAGUGUCAGUGAUGGAUGCCCGUCCUCCCCAGUGUGUGCAGGGAUAGAACGUAGCACAGUGAUUGGGUUGGCUGGGACUUGUACAUACUGCACUGGUUCAAGGCCUGGAUUCAUGAGGCUGGAGGAACACUAAUGAGUUUCCAGCGUUUGAGAUGGGAUGGAUCAUUAGAUGGUCACUGAUAGGGGAUUUUUUUUAUUCUCUAGGAAGUAGAGCAGAAAAUUGGAUUUUUAUUUUAUUUUUUCUUUUUGCCAGGCUUUGUCUAAAGAUAAGCCAUAAGUGUAGCAUUGAUCUUGGUCGUAUCAUUACCAUCUACCUCCAAAGUGCAAAGGCCCUUGAUGUGUUCUUCUAGAGGGUGGCUUAGCCUUGGAUUCAGUUUCAAAUGUGAGUCUAUCCCUAUCCUCUCAGUAAAGUUUCUCAGUUUUCUGUACUUGCCUGGAGUCUGUAUGACCUGUGCAGCUCUUUGUUUAUGAGUAGUGACAUAACAAAAUUAGCACUGAUCUUUCUGCAGCAAAGGUAUUUCCUUGCCUUUCCCCCGAGGCCCAUGUGCUGCCCCUGAAUGCUGGUGCCACGUGCUUGACAUUGCAUAUUGAGCCUAAUGCAUCAGCAUGGCAAUUAGCUCCAAAAUUCACUUCAGAGAUCUUAAGAAAAUGAGAAUUUUGAUUUCAGGAGGACAUGACUUCAACUAGAACAAGGCAACCAUAUAUAGGAUCACCUUGGUGGCAGAUGUGCUGGUGUAUUAGUUAGUACUGUGAGGAGUCCUUAGCUUUAGAGUGAAUGGUGUGAGUUUGAUGAUGCUGGAAUAUUUUUCUUUGUGUUGAGACAGGAGCAAAAAGGCUUGCAAAUGCUCAGUCUUCCCCCCCAUCCUUUCCGCAGUUUGAAACUGGCAUGCACAGGCAGACUCUGUGUGCACAAGGAGAAGAUAUAGGGCUGUAUUUUAAACCAAGUAAUGCGGUGCUCAUUUGGUAGUGAGAUAAAGAUGGGCUGCAAUAUAUUUGGGUCAGUGUUGAUCAGUUGACUUUUCUUUGAGCAAUCUUUUAGUUUUUCUUUUGAACCUUCUAUUCUUACCUGACUUCAAAAGCAGUUGAGGACCUUAACAAAAUUCCUUCACACAAAAUUUUUGCUACUGAAAACAUAUAUCCACCUUGUUUAGCCAACUUAAAACUUUAACAUAAUGCCUGUUCUCUUUUAGUUAAUAUUUUGUUAUUUACAUUAAAAGUUGUUGGAUAGAUCUGUUAAUGCAGCUCUUAGCAAAUGUGUGCAGUUGUUUAAAUCUAGGUGAUGCUGGCAGGUACUGCCUGAGGUGGAAGUAAGAUACAUUUGGAGUCAUGCCUCUUUUUUUUUUGGACUGUUUCUUUUCUUUAAACUAUUGUUUCCAUGCAAAAGAAAGAAACUGCAGGAGGAGAAGGAUUGUUUUAUUUUGGAAACCUUCUGUCCCAUUCAGAGAAGAAGAGCUGGCUGUGGUUUCAGCGUGGCCAGAGAGUUACGUUCUUAUGCACUGGUUUAUUUAUGGGUAAGUCUUUCACUGUGACUGGAGAUUUCUGUAAGUGUAGGUAAAACACUGACAUCUAGUGCCUAAAACACUGCAUCCAAACAUACACUGAGACUCCAGUCCUGUUCCUUCUGUGAUGAACGGUGUUGGCUAUCCAGUAACAUUAUGUACUGGAUAUAGUUUUAAGGAUUGGCUCUAUAUAACCAAAAGAAAGCUAUUAUUUUGCACAACAAAAAGUAGCUAGACGGUCGCUGGCAGUGCAAGGUGAACUUCUCUAGUGGAGGCUGCUCAUACAAAGGCCCCAGUGGGAGUGAUCAUACAGCAAGAAAAUCCAACCUACACGUUGUCUAUUGCUAUGCUGAAGACACAUUUUCUUUCAAUUUCCUUGUGUUAAAAUAUAGCCUGUCUAAAUACAGGCUAUAAAGAGUUUGCUUGAUGAGUCUGAGUGCUGUCCUCAGCGAGAUGCAGAGGAGCUGCAGGAUCAGGUUGUACAUCACAUCUGCUGCUAAUCAAAGAGAAUCAAAUCGGCUAAUCAAAGAGAAUGGCUGCAAGUGGAAAAUUACCACUGAGAGAUGGAAAAGCAUCCCCUGGUGCAGAGAGCAACCUCUGCCCUUCACCUAGCAUCAUAAUGAGCAUGGCAUUGAGGAGAUGCACUCUUGGAUUUGAUAAAUAAAUCCAGAAUGAAUGAAGAAGCAUUGCAUCAGCUCAAAACCUGGAACUGGUUGGAAUCAACUCCAGCUGGAAGUACCUGGUGUCCAAUAAGGUUGAAUGUGCUCUGUGUCUGCAGCCUUGCCUUUGCAUGUCUUGGCAGGGGUCUUGAAGCCGCUCUGGUCUCACUGAACAGCUCUCAGGGCUGUCCCAGCCAUGGCUGAAGAGCAAAGCCUCGUCUCUUUUCCCUUUCAAGUGAAACAAAGAGAACAAACAGUUUUGUGGUGCCUCUUAUAUGUUAUUGACUUGGCUCAAGGAGCUGGAAAAUAAGUCCUUUUGGUGGUCCUUAGCGGAGGCCAGCAGGCCCUGGUUUGCCAGCUGUCUGUCCUCAGGGAGGUGGAUAUGUUAAUUGAUGUUUAUUAUUCCUAGGUGUAAAGAUUAGCACAUUCUCAAGUGUCUUGCUGGAUUGUCUGUAGUAGAUAAGCAGGGUUUAUGGUUAUGGUCUGAGAACAACUGACUGGAAGUGAAAUAUUUGCAUUGCAGUGGAACAAAACAGAAAUGAAACAGUGUUUCUUCCUCUUAGGGAUUUCCUAUAGGGCCAGAAGGUGCCACUGAGCUGCUCUGAAUUUCUGAGCCAUUCAGAGCAAGCCGUGUGUGCCAUGGCCCUGCAUGGCAGGACCCCAAGCUGAGGAGCAGCCAGUCUCCAUCAGCACUUCCUCACUGAGCUACACCAAGCUCCGUGUAAGAGGUAGCUGUCUCUUCUGCUCUGCUUUACUCCUCUUAGAGAGCUGUUGUCUGAACAGGUGUUUCCAAUGGUCCUCUCAUCUGCUUCCAAGUUCAACAUGUACUUGGCCAUGUAUGCUUACUUGCCAUUGUUGAUCUUCAGUUUCUAAAGGACGCAGAAGGAGAAGCUGAGCUAAAUAUCAGCUGGUAAACACAGCUCCUUAGAGAGAUUUGAUCUCUUCUGAGCCUUCUUAGCCCUGAACACCUUAAAAAGUUUUCUUCAAGUGCGGUUCUCCUUUCUGUCUCUCCCUGUUUGCUGAUGUGUCAAUCUGAGCUAGUUUGUGUAUUCAGGAACUUGGCAAUACCCCUUAGGAGGUCUCAUGGGGCCUUUCAGUUUGUCCCCAUCUCCAGCAGAAGGUGCUCCUCAUCUCUCCAGAGCUGCUUCUUCCUUUCCCAUAGCUCAAGCUCAAGCUGGCAGCUCAGAGGCAGCGCAGGGGUUUUCCUCUUGCAGUUGUUGCGAGCUGAUGGGAUUCUGCUAGCAGCAGAGGGUUACUCCUUGCAAAAAUGUUUCUCAGUACUUUAUGCCUUUUCCAUUACAUGGCUCUUUUCCUUCUGCCUCUGCUAAUCCAAACCAAUGAUCCAGCAAAUCCUUCCAAAAGGUGUCUCCAGCAAUGGCAAGGACCAAAGCCUUUGGGAAGGAGCAGGACUCCUCCUCUCAGCAGCAUUGUCUAAGCUGUCCUUAAAAAGCAAACAAACAAACAACAAAAAAAACACAACAACAACAAAACCACACACACACACACACACACACACAAAUCACCUUAAACUACAUUUAUGGCCCUGGAUUUGAGAAUUUCUUUCACUACAUACAGAGAAGCCUGUGCGUAGUCUUCUGAAAGUUUUUCUUGCUGAGAAUCAUUAGAAUGCCACUCUUUUAUGCUUCCCUUGUCUUUCUCUAGUUUCCUCUGCUUCCUUUCUUUCAGCAAGAGUCCUGUUGAGACAACUUAAUAUAGAAGAGAGUUCACAGGAGUGGCCUCAGGUCCUGUCUUAAAGGUGGGUACAGGUUUGCCUGUCUCUAAAGGCCAGUUCCUCCUCCCCAUGCACUUCCCCCUGCAGUACCCACUUUGACUCAUCCAAGGCUCAGGCACCAUGAGCUAUUCACCAGGGAAGAGAUGCAGAAGCUUUCCCAAGCAGGUGGCUGUGCUCCAGGAAGGUAUUCACUCGUGCAUUAUUUUUUUGUGGAAAUCUGGUAUUUCCAGAUAUGAUGAAUGAAGCAAAACUCCUUUUGUGCCCCAAAAAAGGCUGGAUCUGGCUGGUCCAAGGAAUGCCACAGAUGUCUCCCGCUUUGCUCAUGCUGUUGAGCUGACAGAAGCAGAAUGACAAGGCUAUAAAACAGGCAAGGAGACAAAUUUAGUGAGUUAUUGUAAAGUGCAUAUAUACCCAUAGUUGGCUAUGUGUAGUUCUUCAGAGGAGGUGGGUUGGUCUUUCAAAUCAGCUAAGGAACCAGUGCAACUGCCUGGAAUAAUUACAGGGUGUUUGUCAUUGGUUCUGAUCUAAUCUUCUAAGUACACCCUAGAUUUCUCUUCCUAUGUCUGCAGUCACAUGUCGCUUGUAGUUUCUAGUCUAAAUAACUGCAUUUAUGGGAUUAGCUGACACACAAGCUGCCCAUCAGAUGAGAUUUGUUUUCUGGGAUCUGAGCUGAGGAAAAAGCCUUUCUUUUAGUUUGCCACCAACAGCCCAUUUUCUAUUCAUUUGCAAUUCUUUCUUGUUGUAUAAAUGAAAUAGCGAAUAUUUACUAGAUACUUUCCUUCUGGCCGCUAAAAUAUAAGAAUUACAGAAACCUUCUCUGCAAACCUGUCUUCUAGGAAACCUGAAAUCAUAUCUUGAGUUAUUAAAGUUUAAUAGCUAGUGUGUAUAUGGGGGGGGAAGUAAUUACUUCCCAUAACAUCGUUCUCUUUCAAGAAUGUGGCCGUAACCCCUGAUGCAAAAUUAUUCCACUGGCAUUAUAAACCACAGUGUAAUGACUUAUAAUGUCACCUCUUACUACCACAGAGAAACCUUUAUGUUACGACUUAGAUUAUACGCCAGAAAUGAGGAUGACUGUAAUGAAAGGAGAUAGCUGAUGUGUCAAGGUGGCAUUUGAGCUAAGGACUUCGUUGCGAUAUGUGUUGGAACAUGACUUAAUUAGGCAUGCUGUUUGGUGGUUGUUUUUUUUUUUUG